GACGAACGCUGGCGGCGUGCCUAACACAUGCAAGUCGAGCGAAUGAAGUUCCUUCGGGAACGGAUUUAGCGGCGGACGGGUGAGUAACACGUGGGCAACCUACCUCAUAGAGGGGAAUAGCCUUCCGAAAGGGAGAUUAAUGCCGCAUAAGAUUGUAGUACCGCAUGGUACAGCAAUUAAAGGAGCAAUCCGCUAUGAGAUGGGCCCGCGGCGCAUUAGCUAGUUGGUGAGGUAACGGCUCACCAAGGCGACGAUGCGUAGCCGACCUGAGAGGGUGAUCGGCCACAUUGGGACUGAGACACGGCCCAGACUCCUACGGGAGGCAGCAGUGGGGAAUAUUGCACAAUGGGGGAAACCCUGAUGCAGCAACGCCGCGUGAGUGAUGACGGCCUUCGGGUUGUAAAGCUCUGUCUUCAGG
rnacentral:rRNA from 1 species